ACGGCGGACGGGUGAGUAAUGCUUAGGAAUCUGCCUAUUAGUGGGGGACAACAUUCCGAAAGGAAUGCUAAUACCGCAUACGCCCUACGGGGGAAAGCAGGGGAUCUUCGGACCUUGCGCUAAUAGAUGAGCCUAAGUCAGAUUAGCUAGUUGGUGGGGUAAAGGCCUACCAAGGCGACGAUCUGUAGCGGGUCUGAGAGGAUGAUCCGCCACACUGGGACUGAGACACGGCCCAGACUCCUACGGGAGGCAGCAGUGGGGAAUAUUGGACAAUGGGCGCAAGCCUGAUCCAGCCAUGCCGCGUGUGUGAAGAAGGCCUUUUGGUUGUAAAGCACUUUAAGCGAGGAGGAGGCUACUUGGAUUAAUACUCUUGGAUAGUGGACGUUACUCGCAGAAUAAGCACCGGCUAACUCUGUGCCAGCAGCCGCGGUAAUACAGAGGGUGCGAGCGUUAAUCGGAUUUACUGGGCGUAAAGCGUGCGUAGGCGGCUUUUUAAGUCGGAUGUGAAAUCCCUGAGCUUAACUUAGGAAUUGCAUUCGAUACUGGGAAGCUAGAGUAUGGGAGAGGAUGGUAGAAUUCCAGGUGUAGCGGUGAAAUGCGUAGAGAUCUGGAGGAAUACCGAUGGCGAAGGCAGCCAUCUGGCCUAAUACUGACGCUGA
rnacentral:rRNA from 1 species